rnacentral:rRNA from 1 species
GACGAACGCUGGCGGCGUGCCUAAUACAUGCAAGUAGAACGCUGAAGAGAGGAGCUUGCUCUUCUUGGAUGAGUUGCGAACGGGUGAGUAACGCGUAGGUAACCUGCCUUGUAGCGGGGGAUAACUAUUGGAAACGAUAGCUAAUACCGCAUAACAAUGGAUGACACAUGUCAUUUAUUUGAAAGGGGCAAUUGCUCCACUACAAGAUGGACCUGCGUUGUAUUAGCUAGUAGGUGAGGUAAUGGCUCACCUAGGCGACGAUACAUAGCCGACCUGAGAGGGUGAUCGGCCACACUGGGACUGAGAUACGGCCCAGACUCCUACGGGAGGCAGCAGUAGGGAAUCUUCGGCAAUGGGGGCAACCCUGACCGAGCAACGCCGCGUGAGUGAAGAAGGUUUUCGGAUCGUAAAGCUCUGUUGUAAGUCAAGGACGGGUGUGAGAGUGGAAAGUUCACACUGUGACGGUAGCUUACCAGAAAGGGACGGCUAACUACGUG